rnacentral:misc_RNA from 1 species
ACACUCAGCAUUAGGAUAUUAGCAACAAAAGCUAAGAUAAAGCAAUUCUUUCCUACUUCAAUCCUUUAAGCCAAAAAGCAAGAUUCUAAGCAAACAAAAAUCAGAUGUCAAUCUAUCAAAACCCUUCAGUGGUCGUGCAAAUUAGAGAAUGCUUCCAAGUUUGGCAGUCUGUGGUGUUACAUUACGACUUCCUGUAGACUGAGGUACUUUACAGAGGUAUACAUCUUAUUCUUCCCUCUUUCUAGUCCUCAAUUUGGAGAGCACUCAGCAAUUAUUAGAUUAAUCAUCCAACUAGCUUAAAGGCAAUGCCCAGAAUCCUAGGCAGGUAAAAAGCCUACAGGACUCGAUAUCUCCAAAAAAAAAAAAAAUAUUGGGGAUGCAAUAUGCACAAUGGUUGAAAUAACAAGAUAAACUCAAUUAUUCCUUCAUCUGAAGGACUCUCAAGCAGCGAUUUUCCAAAGGUAAUACCUCUGUAGAACCCACCAACUUUGGAAUCUACCUAAAUCUGAAAGAUGUAGAGUUCUUGUUCCAAGAAAGUAAUUUCAUUUCUAUUUUCACCUUCAGCCAAUAUAAGCUCAACUUUUCUUUCUCAUAUUACCAACCUCCUUUUGUCACAUAUCUGUUUCAUUCUCCAUCCCAGGAGGAAACUCUCAAGUGCAUUUAUCUACAUUCACAUAAUCAGGUCAUAGUUUAAAUUUCAUGAUCAUCCUAACUUCUAAAAUUAUCUGAGUUUUAACUGACAGAAUGACACGGCCUGAUGGAGAGUGGUAUAGCAGACUUGCUAAGUGGCUUAAUUAGAACAUCCAGAACUAAUUAACAUUAACAGUGCCCUCCAUUCUUUCUGCCACUACCUAACAAUGUGCAUUCUUAAUUACAAAUUAUUAAUUUAUUUUAAAGAUUAUCCAACAGCAAGAUCACAGAAUUUAAUUCAACAGCAAAUAAUCAAACAUGACAAAAAUGAAGAAGGGUGUAAGAGUUAAUGAGACAGUGUACCCACUUAUACACAGCUAAAGAGGAUUUUUUUUUUUUCCUUUUCUUUAGGGUGGUGGAGUGUGGGUGUGUU